CGGAGUGUAGGUCAGUCUGGUAGACCACUCGCUUUGGGAGCGAGAUGUCGGAGGUUCGAAUCCUUCCACUCCGACCA
rnacentral:tRNA from 1 species